AGCAAUUCGGUGUGUCUCCCCGGCGAUCACCUGAGACUAGCCUGCGGUAGAAAGGAGCGUUUAGUGAUCUCAGUCGUUUCUCUCUAGACAACCUCUUGUGCGUUUGUCAGUUCCGAAGGUGCUCCAACCCAUGUGUGAGGAGUGCUUGGGUAACGGGACGUACUGUAGGAAAGUUAAGGUGUGCAGAGUCUCUAGGAGAUACUGUGAGGCAUCGGAACAGUGAGAUUGACCAGAGAUAGCGAAAGUUGAAGAAUCGAAGAAUUGAAAUAUGUGGAAGCAAACUGAUCUUAGGUAAGUGUUAUUGUAAUCGAUAAAACGGUACAACGUACAAGUCAUAUAGAAUCAUCCACAGUGCAUUACCCCAUUACACUAAUAGACGGGUUCUGGAGGAAGGGAACAUUAUCAAUGAUGUCCGCGUACAACUGGAGCUGGACAUGGAGGAGAGCACGGCAGAGCCAGACGAAACUGAAGCUGAGGACGACAAGAUGGAGAGCGCACAGUCAGUCAGGAAGAAGGUGUUAUCGUCGCGCCUAAAGGGAUAUGAAAAUUGAAAUUCCGCUGAGUGUUAGUUAGGUUUUAUUAGCAUAUGACGACCAUUUUUAUUAACUUAUUCCUAAAUAAUUAAUUAAUCAUUUAAGUAAAACUUAAAAACGGAACUGGGUUGAAGCAACCCUAGUCCAGAAUACUAUUCUAUUGCAGUCGCCCACUCUGUUUUUUUCCUCAUCGAUCCUUAAGUGUCGUCCAUCAUUAGUGCUUUCAAUCCCU
rnacentral:lncRNA from 1 species